rnacentral:rRNA from 1 species
AUUGAACGCUGGCGGCAGGCCUAACACAUGCAAGUCGAACGGUAACAGGAAGACGCUUGCUUCUUUGCUGACGAGUGGCGGACGGGUGAGUAAUGUCUGGGAAACUGCCUGAUGGAGGGGGAUAACUACUGGAAACGGUAGCUAAUACCGCAUAACGUCGCAAGACCAAAGAGGGGGACCUUCGGGCCUCUUGCCAUCGGAUGUGCCCAGAUGGGAUUAGCUUGUUGGUGGGGUAACGGCUCACCAAGGCGACGAUCCCUAGCUGGUCUGAGAGGAUGGCCAGCCACACUGGAACUGAGACACGGUCCUGACUCCUACGGGAGGCAGCAGUGGGGAAUAUUGCACAAUGGGCGCAAGCCUGAUGCAGCCAUGCCGCGUGUAUGAAGAAGGCCUUCGGGUUGUAAAGUACUUUCAGCGGGGAGGAAGGGAGUAAAGUUAAUACCUUUGCUCAUUGACGUUACCCGCAGAAGAAGCACCGGCUAACUCCGUG